CCUACGGGAGGCUGCAGUGAGGAAUAUUGGUCAAUGGGCGCUAGCCUGAACCAGCCACGUCGCGUGAAGGAUGACUGCCCUAUGGGUUGUAGACUUCUUUUAUAUGGGAAUAAAGUGCAGUAUGUAUACUGCUUUGCAUGUACCUUAUGAAUCAGGAUCGGCUAACUCAGUGCCAGCAGCCGCGGUAAUACGGAGGAUCCGAGCGUUAUCCGGAUUUAUUGGGUUUAAAGGGAGCGUAGGCGGGUUGUUAAGUCAGUUGUGAAAGUUUGCGGCUCAACCGUAAAAUUGCAGUUGAUACUGGCAUCCUUGAGUACAGUAGAGGUAGGCGGAAUUCGUGGUGUAGCGGUGAAAUGCUUAGAUAUCACGAAGAACUCCGAUUGCGAAGGCAGCCUGCUGGACUGUAACUGACGCUGAGGCACGAAAGUGUGGGUAGCAAACAGGAUUAGAUACCCUGGUAGUC
rnacentral:rRNA from 1 species